rnacentral:rRNA from 1 species
CUACGGGUGGCACCAGUCGAGAAUUUUUCUCAAUGGGGGAAACCCUGAAGGAGCGACGCCGCGUGGGGGAUGAAGGACUUCGGUUCGUAAACCCCUGUCACUUGGGAACAAAAGCUGCAACCUAACACGUUGCAGCCUGAUAGUACCAGGAGAGGAAGGCACGGCUAACUCUGUGCCAGCAGCCGCGGUAAUACAGAGGUGCCAGGCGUUGUUCGGAUUUAUUGGGCGUAAAGGGUGCGUAGGCGGUCAUGUAAGUCGGGUGUGAAAUACCGGAGCCUAACUCCGGAACGGCAUUCGAAACUACAUGGCUGGAGAUCUGGAGAGGUGAUUGGAAUUCUCGGUGUAGCAGUGAAAUGCGUAGAUAUCGAGAGGAACACCAGAGGCGAAAGCGAAUCACUGGACAGAAUCUGACGCUGAGGCACGAAAGCCAGGGGAGCAAACGGGAUUAGAUACUCCUGUAGUC